rnacentral:rRNA from 1 species
GACGAACGCUGGCGGCGUGCUUAACACAUGCAAGUCGAACGGAAAGGUCCUGCUUUUGUGGGGUGCUCGAGUGGCGAACGGGUGAGUAACACGUGAGUAACCUGCCCUUGACUUUGGGAUAACUUCAGGAAACUGGGGCUAAUACCGGAUAGGAGCUCCUGCUGCAUGGUGGGGGUUGGAAAGUUUCGGCGGUUGGGGAUGGACUCGCGGCUUAUCAGCUUGUUGGUGGGGUAGUGGCUUACCAAGGCUUUGACGGGUAGCCGGCCUGAGAGGGUGACCGGCCACAUUGGGACUGAGAUACGGCCCAGACUGCUACGGGAGGCAGCAGUGGGGAAUAUUGCACAAUGGGCGGAAGCCUGAUGCAGCAACGCCGCGUGCGGGAUGACGGCCUUCGGGUUGUAAACCGCUUUCGCCUGUGACGAAGCGUGAGUGACGGUAAUGGGUAAAGAAGCACCGGCUAACUACGUG